UCUAUAGCUCAGAUGGAUAGAGCAACAGCCUUCUAAGCUGUGGGUCGUGGGUUCGAGUCCCGCUGGAC
rnacentral:tRNA from 1 species